UUGUCAAUUUGCUUUGACUGUCGGCUGCAAGAGUAUUAUUAUUUUAGUCGUGAUAAUGGAGCCUAGUGCAGAUAUUAACCUUGAUACAGACAUCUGGAGUCUGAAUGAUCAAGAUAGCAAUGCAAUUAUAUUGCCAGACAAGAAAAAGAAGAAGAAGACAGAAAAGGAACAAGUAUCGAAAAAGCUUAAAACGAAGAAUAACAUUAAGUUAAGUCAAUCUCA